CCGAAUACGAAGGGGUGCUCGCAAAAUCCUUCACGAAAGGAGCGGGCUGAGAUCAUACCCAUAGAACCUGUACAGGUAAUGCUGUCGUAGGGAUUCAUGCUUCUCCGAUCC
rnacentral:ncRNA from 2 species